AACGAACGCUGGCGGCAUGCCUAACACAUGCAAGUCGAACGAGACCUUCGGGUCUAGUGGCGCACGGGUGCGUAACGCGUGGGAACCUGCCCUUAGGUUCGGAAUAACUCCCCGAAAGGGGUGCUAAUACCGGAUAAUGUCUUCGGACCAAAGAUUUAUCGCCUUUGGAUGGGCCCGCGUUGGAUUAGCUAGUUGGUAGGGUAAAAGCCUACCAAGGCGACGAUCCAUAGCUGGUCUGAGAGGAUGAUCAGCCACACUGGGACUGAGACACGGCCCAGACUCCUACGGGAGGCAGGAGUGGGGGAUAUUGGACAAUGGGCGAAAGCCUGAUCCAGCAAUGCCGCGUGAGUGAUGAAGGCCUUAGGGUUGUAAAGCUCUUUUACCCGGGAUGAUAAUGACAGUACCGGGAGAAUAAGCUCCGGCUAACUCCGUG
rnacentral:rRNA from 1 species